rnacentral:lncRNA from 10 species
GCUCCCUCCCUAGAUCUUCCAUCCAGGAUAGUCCUGGAAAUGAUCUUGAUGCUAUCUGUUCCUCGUUACAGCAGACCUGCUCAACUUCAGCAGCUAGAAGGAGGAUUGUCUUUCACCAGCUGCAGGAGCCUGUUCCCACUACAAGCCUGGUGGAGUCUUCGGAGCAGAUGUGACUGUCCUACUUGUAUAGAGAAGAGAAACUGAGGCUCAGAAGAGAUGCCUGGCUGAGUUUAAUAGGACUGCAACAACAAUUUUGCCUUUCUACUUUCUGACCGUUUGCAAAGAAAUUUCCUAAACAUCACCACUGAGGCUCCUUCCAGCAAUGACUCUGGUCCAUCAUUGGGAUUGCUGAGCAGCUGUUUCAUAACAUGAACAAGGAUGUUUUAACCAUGUUUCUUGACCUGGCCAUUUGGAUCCCAAGGAUGUUUUGGUCCAAGAAUAAAUUCCAGAGCUUAGCUCACCGAAGAAGACAGGAAAACUUGUCAGAUGGGGAAGGAUGUGUCAAGAGCAUGCACACAGAUUUACUCUUCAGCUAGAAGCUCCAAUUCCUAGAUGAUCUGAAUCCAACUCAGAGUGCUUGCACCUGUUUCCUGCCACACAGCUAGAGCUGUCCAGUGAGAGAGACAUGAUGGCCCAGCUUGAAAAAGAAAUUGAGGAUAGCAAGUGUAACAUACCAAGCAUUCCACGAGCAGUGUCCCUCUAGGUUCUCUGAUUGGCUGAAGCUACUCUAAGCCAAGAGAUCAAAGAAGCUGAUAAUGUAGAAUGUAAGUUUGUCUCCUGGGCCACAAUGGAAAGCAGAGACUGUAGCUGGAGGAGUGAAUAGAGGAUAUGCAGCUCUGGUAAUUCUCAGUACAAUUCCCAGUGGUCCACUCUGCAGAAUGAACCAAGUUCCAUUUUGCCCAACUUCUGGCAGUCCACAUUUGGACUGUGAGCUCACCUACAGAUAAAUCGUACGUGGAUUGAUGCAGUAACUGGAUUUGUAGCUGCUAAAUCUUAUUUAAGUGAGGACCUGUCCAGUACAUGUGAAGACCACCCAUCCACUGAAAGUGAUAAGUGAAGCUGAAUCAAUACUAGACUGAAUCAAUACUGAGCUGAAUCAAUACUUUCCCAAUUUUGAGGAAAUCUUGGAAAAUCUCUGAGAAAUGUGGUAGUAAUUAUUUUGAAGAAUUGGAAAACUUUAUAGCUGAUUAUGCUAUGUGUGGAAGAUACAACAGGAUUAUAAGAGAGAGAAGACAAUAUCCUUGCUGUGUCCAGAAGGCUUUAGCCGGGGUGUCCUACUGAGAGAUGACAAACUUAAGGUUUUUCUCUUCCCAGACAUUACUGGACAACUAGCUAUGUAAUUAGGUCUUAUGCCGAAAAGACUGAAAGGAAAACAUCUCAGAUCUAGGAAUGUGAUCAAGAAAGAAGGCUGGUUAAAGAAUAACAUGGGGAAAAUGAAUGCAGUGAAAUGGUUCACGCACAAGUUCUAGGAAUUCAGAGUGCAACAGCAGAAAUGCGAUUUUUGUUAGAUAUUUCAGAAAGUGAUGUGAGUCCCUGAGGUCAUACUGCAGCGUUCAGGUUCUGUUUGGCCUCCUGCACGAAGCUUUCCUUGAUUGGAAAAGCUGCAUACUCUGAAGCACAUCGCAUGUGUCCUGUCUGUAGUUCAUUUCAUUUCCCCAGAUUUGUUAUCAUCCACCAUCACUCAUACAAGCCUACCUUCUUCAUGCCAACCUUUGUAAUCUUUCUACCUUGCUAACCUGGUCAUGUCAAGGACCAGCUAAUAAAUAGCAAAGUUGUACCUUGAGCCAAGGUAUCUUGACUCUUAGUCCAGUGCUCUUUAUAUACCUCUGAAGUCUUAUUUGAGCUUCAAAAUUAUGAGUCUGUGCUCUCAAGAUUUUUUUGAAAAUGUACUUAAUGUUGCCCCUAAGCUUUUAUGAGAAAUAAUAAAGUUCUUUCCAGAUUGAA